rnacentral:rRNA from 1 species
CAAUAGCAUAUAUUAACGUUGUUGCAGUUGAAAAGCUCGUAGUUGAACUUUUGGUAGGAGCGACCUGGCCUUGGGCGCAUGCCCUUGUUUGCCGUGUGUCGUGUCUGGCCAUCCUUUUCCGCUUCGGCGGGAAUCUUUUACUGUGAGUAAACUGGAGUGCUCAAAACAAGACGUUUGUUUGGUACAUUAAAGCAUGGAAUAAUAAGAUAGGACCUGGUUACUAUUUUGUUGGUUUGCAUAGCUAGGUAAUGAUUAACAGGGACAGUUGGGGGUAUUCGUAUUUAAUUGUCAGAGGUGAAAUUCUUGGAUUUAUGAAAGACGAACGACUGCGAAAGCAUUUACCAAGGAUGUUUNCAUUAG